rnacentral:piRNA from 1 species
UGUUUUGUGGAUUCACGCAUCCUUGUC